UUUCCGUAGGUGAACCUGCGGAAGGAUCAUUAACACUAAUUAAUGAUUCCAGACCAUUGUAUUUCAAUCAACUACUAUACGAUCCUAUUCUUUACGGUCCUGGAUCAAAGCAAGGAAACAAAACUCAACACGUUGAGGACUUUGUUGUCCUCUUGUUUUGGGUGUUUUUGUGCUUUUGUUUCGAAUCUUAUCCCUUGUAUAUUUUCUAAACGAUUUUUAAUCUAACUGACUAUAGACAUUUUUUGCGUUGGUUCCCUAACUUGAUCAUCAGUUCAAACCAUUGGACUGGAACCAACAACCGUACGAACCUUUUCUUUACGGAUGCGAAUGAAAAAACUGACACAAAACUAAACACAUUGUGGACCUUGUUGUACUAUCGUUUUCCGUCUUUUUUUGCAUUUGAUUCGCAGCUAGGCCCGUGUAUUGUUUCUAGCCGGUUUUGUCUCCAACGGACUAAAUACCUUCUCAGAGCUGGUUCCAUAUCGUCUGGAACAAGUCAAAUAAUACGAUAUACGAGAUACAACUCUCAACAACGGAUAUCUUGGCUCUC
rnacentral:misc_RNA from 1 species